rnacentral:lncRNA from 1 species
UCAUGAUAUUAGAGCUAUCUCUCUAGCUUCUGCUUCCAUUUAUGGAUGCUGAUCACCAGGUCACCUCUACGAUUCACCAGAUAGUGCAAUUCCUGAAGGCACUUCAAUUCCCAUCUCUCAAUAGUCAAAUCCACCAGAAAAUCCUACUGGUGCUUCUGCAAUUCCUGCACAAAUCAACUCUCAAAUCAUGGAUGAUCCUAAUAGUCCAUACUAUCUUCAUUAUGGCGAAAAUACUGGUACACGGCUCAUCUCUAUUCUUCUGUCUGAUGAAAAUUACUCCACUUGGAGCCGAACAAUAAUCAUAGCCCAAAGUGUCAAAAAUAAAGAAGGCUUCAUUGACAGAACAAUCUCUAAGCCAGAUCUCAAUGAUCCACUUUUCAUUCCAUGGAGAAGAUGUAACCAUGUGGUGUCCGCAUGGAUAAUCAAUUCGAUCUCCAAGGAGCUUUAUCCAAGUGUCAUGCAUAAAGACUUAGCACAGGAAAUUUGACUUGAGCUUUAUGAUAGAUAAAAUUAGAGUAAUGGUCUUCACAUACAAAAAUUGAUUUCUUCAAUUUCAUAGACCAAUGGAUCUCUCAGUUUUUAUUUUAACAGAUUGAAGGGGCUUUGUGAAGAAUUGGCUCACUAUAGGCCAUGAAAUUAUAAUUGCUACCAAUUUGAUGAUCAGGUUAUACAAUUCUUGAUGGGCUUGACGAUUCCUAUAAUGCUGUUAGAAGCCAGAUCCUUCUUAUGGAUCUAAUUCCUCAUCUGAAUCUUGUUUUUGCCUUGGUUUCUCAAGAAGAAAAGCAAAGACAAGUUACAUCUUUGAAUCAAAAUAUAGAGGCUUCUGCUUUUACCAAUCAUGGUGUUCUCAAUCAGCAAUAGUUUGUCAAGCAUACAAACAGCAACAACCGAGGACAAAGAAAGGACAGAGCUAUUUGCAGUUAUUGUGGCAUCAGUGGCCAUAAGAAAGAUAAGUGCUAUAAACUACAUGGAUACCCUCCAGGACAUUGUUUAGCCAAGAAAUCACCUACAAAUGUAUCAGCACAUCAAGUCUCUGCAUCUUAUUGCUCUGAGGUACUACACAAUCUCAGCAACAUUACUAUAACUCCUAACCAAUGUCAACAAAUUAUCUCUAUGCUGAGACCUCAACUCGAAGCUUUUAUACCUUCAUCUGUUGCUUCAAGUUCCAUUGGUGCUAUAAAUCAUGUUGGAGAUCUGCAAGUUGUAUGAACUCACUCUUCAAUGAUGCCUUCUGUUACAGCUUUCUCAGGUAGUAGCUUAGUGUGUUCAGUUUAUACAUAAACAGAAAAUACUUGGAUAAUUGAUAUUGGGGCAACAAAUCACAUUGUCUUCUCUGUCCAGCAACUCACCCCUAUCACAGCUACUAUUAAAGGAACUGUCAGAUUAUCCAAUGGCCAUGUUGCUACAGUGACAUAUGUAAGAACGGUUCAGCUAUCAAGUGACUUAUUCUGACAAAUGUUCUUUGUGUUCCAUGCUUCACUUUUAAUUUGAUAUCUAUCAGCAGAUUAAUUUCAGUCCAUCAUUGUUGUGUAAUUAUCAUGUUUGCUUACUGCUUUAUUUAGGAUCUUUAUCUUAGAAGACGAU